rnacentral:rRNA from 1 species
AUUGAACGCUGGCGGCAUGCCUUACACAUGCAAGUCGAACGGCAGCACGGGAGCAAUCCUGGUGGCGAGUGGCGAACGGGUGAGUAAUGUAUCGGAACGUGCCUUGUCGUGGGGGAUAACGUAGCGAAAGCUACGCUAAUACCGCAUACCAUCUAAGGAUGAAAGCGGGGGAUCGCAAGACCUCGCGCGACAAGAGUGGCCGAUAUCAGAUUAGGUUGUUGGUGGGGUAAAGGCCUACCAAGCCGACGAUCUGUAGCUGGUCUGAGAGGACGACCAGCCACACUGGGACUGAGACACGGCCCAGACUCCUACGGGAGGCAGCAGUGGGGAAUUUUGGACAAUGGGCGAAAGCCUGAUCCAGCAAUGCCGCGUGCAGGAUGAAGGCCUUCGGUGUAACUGCUUUGUACUAGAACGAAACAGU